rnacentral:rRNA from 1 species
ACGGCCUACCAAGGCGACGAUACGUAGCCGACCUGAGAGGGUGAUCGGCCACACUGGAACUGAGACACGGUCCAGACUCCUACGGGAGGCAGCAGUAGGGAAUCUUCCGCAAUGGCGAAAGCCUGACGGAGCAACGCCGCGUGAGUGAUGAAGGUCUUCGGAUCGUAAAGCUCUGUUGUUAGGGAAGAACAAAUGUGUAAGUAACUGUGCACAUCUUGACGGUACCUAACAGAAGCCACGGCUAACUACGUGCCAGCAGCCGCGGUAAUACGUAGGUGGCAAGCGUUAUCCGGAAUUAUUGGGCGUAAAGCGCGCGUAGGCGGUUUUUUAAGUCUGAUGUGAAAGCCCACGGCUCAACCGUGGAGGGUCAUUGGAAACUGGAAAACUUGAGUGCAGAAGAGGAAAGUGGAAUUCCAUGUGUAGCGGUGAAAUGCGCAGAGAUAUGGAGGAACACCAGUGCGAAGGCGGCUUCUGGUCUGCAACUGACGCUGAUGUGCGAAAGCGUGGGGAUCAAACAGGAUUAGAUACCCUGGUAGUCCACGCCGUAAACGAUGAGUGCUAAGUGUUAGGGGGUUUCCGCCCCUUAGUGCUGCAGCUAACGCAUUAAGCACUCCGCCUGGGGAGUACGGUCGCAAGACUGAAACUCAAAGGAAUUGACGGGGACCCGCACAAGCGGUGGAGCAUGUGGUUAAUUCGAAGCAACGCGAAGAACCUUACCAAAUCUUGACAUCCUUGACCGCUCUAGAGAUAGAGUUUUCCUCUUCGGAGGACAAAGUGACAGGUGGUGCAUGGUUGUCGUCAGCUCGUGUCGUGAGAUGUUGGGUUAAGUCCCGCAACGAGCGCAACCCUUGAACUUAGUUGCCAUCAUUCAGUUGGGCACUCUAAGUUGACUGCCGGUGACAAACCGGAGGAAGGUGGGGAUGACGCAAUCAUCAUGCCCCUUAUGAUUUGGGCUACACACGUGCUACAAUGGACAAUACAAAGGGCAGCGAAACCGCGAGGUCAAGCAAAUCCCAUAAAGUUGUUCUCAGUUCGGAUUGUAGUCUGCAACUCGACUACAUGAAGCUGGAAUCGCUAGUAAUCGUAGUCAGCAUGCUACGGUGAAUACGUUCCCGGGUCUUGUACACA